rnacentral:lncRNA from 1 species
GCUGGGUCCUCUGAAAGAAAUCCCGUAAAACCUCAAGGAGCUCACAGGCUGGAAUAUUCUUUCACAGGCAAGCAAGGACCCAGGGCUGUGCUCAAGCUGGGCUACAAGGGCUGGACCAGGGUCUGGGGUUGGGCAUAGGUUGGGCUGACUUGCAGUUGCUGGCCUUGGAGAAAGGAGAAGCAAAGCCACUGUGAUUGGAGGAAGGAGAUUCAGGAAGCAAGGACAGCUCUUAGUGUCAGUUCCAAUGGUUGGGUAUGAGAAAGAGGGAGUAAAAACUGGGGCUUCAAGAAGGCAGGGACUAUAGUUGUAUUUCCUCCCAGUGUAUUCACAGUGCAUCUGGUUCACCAAAGACUCUCAAGGUGACUUCAUCCAUGGCGGCUGUGUGGCAGCGAGCUACUUGCGCAUCUCUUCUGUUCCGUGAGGUCAUGUUGGCAGCUUGAAAUUGAUCAAGUGGGAAGCAUUUACAUCACAGAAAUUGUUCACCUUGUGCCCAACCUUCUGUCUCCCUGAGUCAGACCUGCAGACGAUUGCAUGCCACCAGCUGUCUUCACUCCUGAGAACAUGACACAAAGGAAUGCUCCCUGUCAAGUUCUUCAUUAUCCUUCUGAUGAAUUUCCCCUGGUUUAAACAAGUUGGUGGUAGACAGACCUUUCUCGCAUUUUCACAGACGUGCCAGGAGGAAACCCAGCGUCUCUCAGUUUCCUUUAAAUAUAUGAGAUACCAUGAAAGGAUUUGAGCGUUUUUUUAUGUGAAUCCAAAGAUGACAUUUACAAAAGGUGGAGAAGCAGUUCCCUACUGAGGGACGUGGAUACAAAAAGCAGAUGACACAACACAUCCCAUAGAGUUCCCAGGGAAGAAUGAACCCAGAUUCUUGACCUGCAGAGGUGGCGUACUGGCUGGAGAAAUCUCUGGCUGGCGACCGUGCUAUUCUGUCUGUCCACCUAACUGUGGGCUCCCAGAUCACCACUGCCAUGGGCAGGGGGCCGUGGGGUGGGCCUGCUUGGGGUGACAGGCUAGCUGUGCUCCCAUAGCAGAGGUGGGAGAAGGGAAUCACAUCUGGUGAGCAGCUAUGUCGUGCCAGGCACUGUGCUGUGUAUUGCACACAUCUCAAACCUUGUGACAAAUGUGUAAGAUAUUUUUUAUGUAUUACAAAUGAAGGAACUGGGCUCAGAAAAGCUCCAUUAUUUGCCCAAAUUGCAGCAGUAAUGCAGGAAUUUGAAUCCACAUUAAUCUGACUCCACAACCCAUGUUCUUUCACUGAAUUCCCAUAUCCUUGUUCCCCCUACUGUCCUCACUGGUCAAGGUGAGCUUGGUCUUCCACAAACAGGCUAGAAAAGUAUGCUUACUUAUCUUUAGCUUUAUGCUUUUAAACUAAUUCUUAAAAAUCUUCUCUGGAUAAGUCAAAGACAAUGGGAAUGUGUAUUUCUAAUACAUUAAUUAUAAUACAUUACCGGUUUACACAAUGCCAUCACCUUGUCAUUUUCUUUGACACAACGUCCCCCUCCCCUCUAGUUUAUAAAUGAGGACAUUGAGGCACAAAGUGGGUAAGUGACUUGCCCAAGGGGGAGAUUUGUCCAAUCAUAAAGAUGGGCCUGAACUUUUUCUACUUUGCAUUCUUACUUGAAAGGCAGGAAACAUAUGCUCAAGAGGGAGAUCUCACGAAAUUUCAUGUCAUAUAGUGCUCUCGCUAAUUUAAUCCUGUCAUUCCUGGUUAUAUCCCUUUGGAAAAACCACCACCAGUGCCUUCUCUUUUGAUAUAUUUACAGUAAAAAUAUUCCCUGUACAAACCAUCUCACUCUUUCACAGGGAACUGGCUUGGCCCUCUCCCCUGAAGUGGGUUGCACAUCCACCCAGCCCACCCCCAGCUCACUCUAGCUCCCUUCCUGUUAGAAUUUAUUCAGAACCUCCAUUUCUAGGAGGAAGCAAGG